AGAAGGGCUUUGCAAACCAGAUGGGCUAGUACCCCUUCCAUCUCCCAAAGCCUUUAGUAGAACUCUCUGUGAGAUUCCAUGUCACUGUUCUGUGUGCAGAAAUCAGCAAAUGCCCACAAAUGACACAGAUCAGAAAUGAAGAAACAGCCGUAAGACAGGAAGAAACAGAGGUAUCCCUGCAGGUGGAGUGGGACAAACUCCAGGAAGCAAUGGCUUACAAGACAAGUGAGGGCUGAGUCCAUUCCUCUCAAGUUUGCUAGAGCCCCUCCUACAGGCAAUGAGAAGAAGAGGCUUCUGAGAGACAGACAGACAGACUCCUGAGAGACAGACGUGGCCCGUUAGGAGUGGCCUUGAAGGCACGGUUUAUAGGGACACAGAAGGAUCUGUUGCCUUUGCUCAAUGUGCAUUUUGAGGAAUGGUGUCUUCUAAACUGUGCUAUGCCCCUGGGCGGAGACCUAGAGUACAUUUCCCUUACUGUAUGAGAGGAGUUCAGGAAGAGAUAAGCUUUGUUCAUCAAGGAUGUGUGAACUCCUAAGACUUACUCUAAUCUUGUCCAUUCGAAACCCAGGCCAUCUUAAAGCGCCUGGAAGCCUUCCCUUGGCUGUGCUGCAUGCUCGGUGUGCACCUGCACUUUGCUGUAUUCAAUGCAGGUUUGUAGGCAGCAGACACUUUGGUCUCACAGCCCAGCCUCCUCUCCACCCCAGCUCACAGCCUCAGGCUCACCUUUCUUGCUGACAGUUCCUGAAGUGGCCCAGAGAAGUCCCAGGCUCGCCUUCCCUUCUCUGGUGAGUGCAGAAGUCUCUCUGUGCCCAGGACUGAGCAUAGAGGAAGUCACUAGGCUGCCUGGGUCUUAGAGAUCAGGAAACUGAGAGAAAGGCCGGAUGAUGAUUGCUUAAAGAGACAGAAACAUUUUCCAUGUAGGUAUGGUCUUAGCAUUUUUCUACGGAAUCACACACUAUAUCUUCUCUGUGACUAAAGGCAGUCUGUCCAGAAGGGUUGGUAGAAUCAAACAUGGUGACAGAGCUUUCUUUGCUGACUCUAUUCUAGAAUUGGCUACAGGUAAUCUUCCGUGUGUGUGUGUGUGUGUGUGUGUGUGUGUGUGUGUGUGUGUGUGGUUGUUGUAGUUGUUGCUGUUGCUGUUGUUGUUUUGUUUUUUUUGUUUUGUUUUUAUUAUUUUUAUUUUCAUCUUCUCUUUAAGGAUUUUUCUUACUACAAAAUAGCCUCCAAUUGAGAUUGGAGGAUGGCAAAUUUAAGCCCAUUCUAGGCCUACUAAUUUUCUUAAGACCCCAUCUCAAAACAAAACAAACACUAAAGGCUCGGGGUUUAGCUUAUUGAUACAGCAUUUGCCUAGAAUCAUUUGCCUAGAAUAUACAAGGUCCUAGGGUCUAUCCAGUACCAAAGGAAACAAAAAAAGAAAAAUUUAAAAAGAAUAGAAUAUCUAAUAGCACUAUGACUGAUAUUGGGUAUUAGUGAUUAAUCUUUAAAUUAGUGCAUGCAUAUUUUGUUCAUUCCUGUUUUACUAAGUAAAGGCUUUGACUGGAGAUGUG
ensembl:processed_transcript